UAUGUGAACAGAGUCUUCUUAGGGAAGGAAGUAGACGCCUCCAGUUUCUAUUUUACAAGACAGGCAGUAAGAUGACCGCACGCAAUGUGACAGCACCAUGUCCGUCCUGGCUCGGUGUGUAAUACUAGCACUCACUAUGCAAGGACUGGGUGUCACAGUCAGACCGGUGGUCACCUUCACACCCAACUGGAGUCAAGUCUUAUACCAUGAUGGAGUGACCCUAACAUGUGAUAUGGGAUCUGCUCUCGUGGAGAACCAGAAAUAUUACUGGUAUAAAGAUGGCAAACUGAUGCCAGAUAUAAGAGGGAAGAGCUUUGAGAUUAAACAUGUCGGAAACAAAAGUGAAGGUCAUUACCAGUGUCGGAUAAACAAUAGUGACUUCAGUCUUCCUGUCACGCUGGAUGCUAUGGAAGGUCAUCUCAUCCUGCAGGGACCUCCAGUUACCUAUGAAGGAGACCCCCUGACUUUGAGAUGUCACCAUGUAUAUGGAUAUCUAGGAACAAACACAACAUUUUACAAGGAAAAUAAAACUAUAAAGUUCUCAGUCAAUGACUCAGAGUUACAUAUAGAUACAGUAGAUGAGGCCUCAACUGGGACAUACAGAUGUACUAAACUGCUUCAACAUCCUAACGAUCAUAACUAUCAAUGUAUCUCUGCCAAGAUCCACAUCUUAGUGUUGGGUCGUUCUUCUUCCAAGACUGCAGUCCAUCACAUUAUCAUUAUUUGGGUUACAGUCGGGAUUGUAGUAGUCUUUCUCCUCCUAUCCCUCAUCUUCUGGAAAUGUAGAAAUAAAAAGACUUCACUGUCUACGAGUCAAGAACAACAUGCAACCAGGACACCAAUGGAAGGGCCACUUUUAGUUCCCAGUCUGCCCCUGGCUCAAGAGGAUAUCACUUUCUCAUGUCUAUCGACAUUUCAGAAUUUAGAAGAUUUUAUAGAAGUUUUGUCUUUUUGGAUUUUGUAGCUGACACACACCCUGCUCUUGAAGACGAUAUCUGCUAUACUUAUCUCAGUAUGGACCACUUGCAGAUAGCCCCAUCCAAAUCUGCCAGUAAAAAUGUUGAUAUGUCUACCACAUACGCAGAGGUGAAGCAUAGACACCACUGAAUG